UGGCGGACGGGUGAGUAAUGUCUGGGAAACUGCCCGAUGGAGGGGGAUAACUACUGGAAACGGUAGCUAAUACCGCAUAACGUCGCAAGACCAAAGAGGGGACCUUCGGGCCUCUUGCCAUCGGAUGUGCCCAGAUGGGAUUAGCUAGUAGGUGGGGUAAAGGCUCACCUAGGCGACGAUCCCUAGCUGGUCUGAGAGGAUGACCAGCCACACUGGAACUGAGACACGGUCCAG
rnacentral:rRNA from 1 species